rnacentral:rRNA from 1 species
UUCCGGUUGAUCCCGCCGGAGGCUACCGCUAUUGGAGUUCGAUUAAGCCAUGCGAGUCGCGAGUCUUAGGGACUCGGCGUACCGCUCAGUAACACGUGGGUAACCUGCCCUAUGCUGGGGGAUAACCUCGGGAAACUGAGAAUAAUACCCCAUAGUUCACCACGCCUGGAACGGUGGGUGGACCAAAGCUCCGGCGGCAUAGGAUGGGCCUGCGGCGUAUCAGGUUGUAGGGGGUGUAAUGUACCCUCUAGCCCUCUACGCGUACGGGUGUUGAGAGACAUCGCCCGGAGAUGGAUUCUGAGACACGAAUCCAGACCCCACGGGGUGCAGCAGGCGCGAAAACUUGGCAAUGCGAGAAAUCGUGACCAGGGAACUCCAAGUGCAUCGGGUAAGACCGAUGCUUUUCUUGACUCUUCAAAGGUCUUGGAAUAAGGGGUGGGUAAGGACGGUGCCAGCCGCCGCGGUAAUACCGGCGCCCCAAGUGGUAGUCGCUUUUAUUGGGCCUAAAACGUCCGUAGCCGGUCUGGUACAUUCGUGGGUAAAUCAACCAGCUCAACUGGUUGAAUUCUGCGAGCACGGCCAGACUUGGGACCGGGAGAGGUGUGGGGUACUCUCAGGGUAGGGGUAAAAUCCUGUCAUCCUGAGAGGACCACCUGUUGCGAAGGCGCCACACUAGAACGGAUCCGACGGUCAGGGACGAAGCCUAGGGGCACGAACCGGAUUAGAUACCCGGGUAGUCCUAGGUGUAAACGCUGUGGACUUGAUGUUGGGGGCGCUCCGAGCGCACUCAGUGUCGAAGCGAAGGUGAUAAGUCCACUGCCUGGGGAGUACGGUCGCAAGGCUGAAACUUAAAGGAAUUGGCGGGGGAGCACCGCAACCUGAGGAUUGUGCGGUUUAAUUGGAUUCAACGCCGG